UAACUAAUAUUUAAUUUAUAAAAAUCUUCCCAACACUCCAGUUUAGUGAGUUGAGAAACUAAGGGUUUUGGAGGCUUUAAAAACUCCAAAAACCUUACCUUCUCCAUAAAACCUCCUUUCCAAAUAAGGCCAUAUUUCUUCAUUGCAUUUAAAAACCUUCCCUUAACUUCAAAAACUUGCUCCCAAAGGAUCCUUUUGUCAUUCUAUGAGGUUGAUGGAUAUAUAUUUUUGUAUUAAAACUACAAUUUGUCUAAUUGCAGGAAAAGGGGAGCAUUUGAAGAC
rnacentral:misc_RNA from 1 species